AAUGAACGCUGGCGGCAGGCCUAACACAUGCAAGUCGAGCGAGCAUUUCGGUGCUAGCGGCGGACGGGUGAGUAACGCGUGGGAACGUGCCCUUUUCUGCGGAAUAGUCCUGGGAAACUGGGGUAAUACCGCAUACGCCCUUUUGGGGAAAGAUUUAUCGGAGAAGGAUCGGCCCGCGUUGGAUUAGGUAGUUGGUGGGGUAAUGGCCCACCAAGCCGACGAUCCAUAGCUGGUUUGAGAGGAUGAUCAGCCACACUGGGACUGAGACACGGCCCAGACUCCUACGGGAGGCAGCAGUGGGGAAUCUUAGACAAUGGGGGCAACCCUGAUCUAGCCAUGCCGCGUGAGUGAUGAAGGCCUUAGGGUUGUAAAGCUCUUUCAGCUGGGAAGAUAAUGACGGUACCAGCAGAAGAAGCCCCGGCUAACUCCGUG
rnacentral:rRNA from 1 species